rnacentral:rRNA from 1 species
GACGAACGCUGGCGGCGUGCUUAACACAUGCAAGUCGAACGAUGAUCUCCCAGCUUGCUGGGGGGGAUUAGUGGCGAACGGGUGAGUAACACGUGAGUAACCUGCCCUGGACUCUGGGAUAACCCCGAGAAAUCGGAGCUAAUACCGGAUAGGACCCUGUACCGCAUGGUGUGGGAUGGAAAGUUUUUUCGGUUUGGGAUGGACUCGCGGCCUAUCAGCUUGUUGGUGAGGUAAUGGCUCACCAAGGCGUCGACGGGUAGCCGGCCUGAGAGGGUGACCGGCCACACUGGGACUGAGACACGGCCCAGACUCCUACGGGAGGCAGCAGUGGGGAAUAUUGCACAAUGGGCGCAAGCCUGAUGCAGCAACGCCGCGUGCGGGAUGACGGCCUUCGGGUUGUAAACCGCUUUUAGUAGGGAAGAAGCGUAAGUGACGGUACCUGCAGAAAAAGCACCGGCUAACUACGUGCCAGCCGCCGCAGUAAAAC